UCGAUGAAGUUGGACGUGCCCGAAAGGGAGCCGUAACACAGGUGCUGCAUGGCUGUCGUCAGCUCGUGUCGUGAGAUGUUGGGUUAAGUCCCGCAACGAGCGCAACCCUUGCCAUUAGUUGCUACAUUUAGUUGGGCACUCUAAUGGGACUGCCGGUGACAAACCGGAGGAAGGUGGGGAUGACGUCAAGUCCUCAUGGCCCUUAUGGGUAGGGCUUCACACGUCAUACAAUGGUCGGUACAGAGGGUUGCCAACCCGCGAGGGGGAGCUAAUCUCAUAAAACCGAUCGUAGUCCGGAUUGCAGUCUGCAACUCGACUGCAUGAAGUCGGAAUCGCUAGUAAUCGCGGAUCAGCAUGUCGCGGUGAAUACGUUCCCGGGCCUUGUACACACCGCCCGUCACACCAUGGGAGUGGGUUUCACCAGAAGCAGUUAGCCUAACCGCAAGGAGGGCGAUUGCCACGGUGAGAUUCAUGACUGGGGUGAAGUCGUCGUAACAAGGUAACCGUAA
rnacentral:rRNA from 1 species